ensembl:lncRNA LINC00320 long intergenic non-protein coding RNA 320
UUUUCUUUCUGGCAUGGAUCAAGAGAAAAGAAAAUACAAGAAAACAGACAGAAGCAAGGCAAGGUACUUCUAUGGAAGGGUGAGCCCUCACAGAUGGAGCAAUGGGGCGCGCACACCUGAACAAGGGAGGGGAAGGAGUUCUUAUCCCUGAUGCAUGUGACCCCUGCUGCUGUGUCCUUCCCCUAUUGGCUAAGGCUUCUGACAGCUUUGGAGAUUGUGACAUUGGAAUAAAGGAAAAACGUACAGGACUCAUGAAGCGCUGAAAUGUUCACAAAUAUCAAGCAAAAGUCAAUGAAAUUUAUUUUGAGCUAUUUACAUCAUUUAAUAAUUGAGCAAGGUAUACUCCUAUGAACAAAAUUUGGAGCAUGUUUGUCUCUCUCUGCCUGGCGUCUUCAGAAUUUGGAAACUAGUUAUGGUUUAUAAUCAGCUAUAGAAUUUUAACACGUGCUCUCAAAUGCAAGUUUCUGAUAACUUUGGAGAUUGUGACAUUGGAAUAAAGGAAGAGCUGGAAUGUUCAUGAAUAUCAAGCAAAAGUCAUGGAAAUUUAUUUUGAGCUAUUUACAGCAUUUAAUAAUUGAGCAAGGUAUACUCCUAUGAACAAAAUUUGGAGCAUGUUUGUCUCUCUCUGUCUGCCUGGCAUCUACAGAAUUUGGAAACUAGUUGAUGCAAUUGGAGAAACUGGUUGUUUUACCAAGGCUUUGACUGGAAGGAUAUGCUUCCCUUUAAGAAACCAAGCUCAACUUACAGAGCUGAUAAAACCCCUUUGGGAAAACUGGCCUCAUACCUUGUCUACACAGUCCCCAUGCAGGGUUCCUAACGUGUGUCGUUCCCAGAUUUCCUAAACUUUCCAGAGAAAAUGGUCUUCUCCCUGGCUCAGCAAGAAGAUGAACUUUAAACACUGAGAAACUGGUCAUCUCCCUGGCUCAACCAGAAGAUGAACUUUAAACACUACUCUCAAUGACUUGAUGUUCCCAUCACUACUCCUGUCAUAAAGGGAGGGGACUCAGAUAUUGAGAAUUUUAUGAUAGUGUGAACUGUCUGGUAUGUCAUUUAAGUAAGCCCGUUGCUGAAAUAUUUUCCAUGUUAUUAGAAAGAGCUGAAGAGAGGGAUUGAGAUGGCUUCUUUAUUUUUUGUCUUUUGGGAAUUAAAGGAACCUGGUUCAACAAGGGCCUACACCUAAGUCUCUUGUUGUACCAGAGUACAAUUUAGGACUGCUCCUGAGGAAGGAAUUAGCUAGAAAUCUAGAGAGUAAGGGUAACAGAUUUACAUAGAAUAACAGCCUCAGUAUUUUUGGUUCCUCUCCAGUAAAGAUCACAAAGAAUAUUGCUAAAUCGCUAAAACACCUUUGCAAUAACGUAAGGGCUUACAACUAUAUACCAAUGUAGCUCAGUUACUAAACUGGAGUAAACUAAUUUCUCUUGUGUAGAAAAAUUGGUUGGCUGUGGUUUUAUAGCAGAUCUGCAAUUAUUAAUAGUUAUGCCAAUAAUCGUUUAACAGUGCAUAUGUUAAUAUAUAUGGAAAGACAAUGUGUAUAGACAGAUGUGUAAAAUUGAAAAAUAAACAUAUAACAAGAGAGAAACAUCUAUCGAACAGACAAUAUACAUACACAUCAAACACAACAGCAGUUUUAGUGACCAUAAUAUUUAUUUCUCAUUUUUACAUUGCUUACUUUAGUGACAACUGAAAAUGACAGUUGGCAAUGCAGCUAACAGUUUCAAUAAAAGUAUAAAACAAAAGAC